rnacentral:snRNA from 1 species
AUCGCUUCUAGGCCUUUUGGCUAAGAUCAAGUGUAGUAAUGAUGGUGGACAUGUUGACAAUUAACAAGAACAAUAAAAAUGUACAUGUUUCUUCUUUUUAAUCCUUUUUUACAGAUUCCUU